AUGUUUGAUCGCCUCACUGAUAUCACAAAUGAGCUCCAUGCACUCGGCGCCACAAAUGAGCUUCAUGCACUCGGCGCCACUGAAAUCACCAAGCAUGGAAUCAUCAAGACACUCUUGAGAUCACUCGGCAGCUCAUUUGACACCUUGGCCCUGAUGAUUCAAGAACGCCCUGACUUCAAGACUCUCGAUCCGUCCGACAUACUUGAGAGGCUCAACACAUAUGAAUUCCAGCUAUCUGAGAAACGAGACAUCUAUGGCCCCAACUAUGGCCGAGCUCGCGCCUUGAAGGCAAAUGUUGUUUCCUCGUCUGAAGAAGAAUCUGACUGCAGUUCUGAGGAUCCUGAAGACAUUGGAAAGGAGCUUGCUAUACUCAUGAAGAAGUUCCAAAGGUUCCCUAGGAAGAAAGGCUCCAGACAGUCUUCAAGAUCCAGCUCAAGAAAUGAUGAAGCUUCCUCCCGUGACUACAAGAAGAGAACGUGUCACAAGUGCAAGAAACCUGGUCACUACAUCUCUGAAUGUCCUCAAUGGGAUAAUGAGAACAACAACAAGAAGAAGAGCAAGGAAUAUGAUUUUGAUGACAAGAAAAAGAAUAAAUCCUCAUAG
rnacentral:rRNA from 1 species